rnacentral:rRNA from 1 species
UACCCCCGUAGUCCUAGCCGUAAACGAUACUCGCUAGGUGUCGGCCACGGUGCGACCGUUGUCGGUGCCGUAGGGAAGCCGUGAAGCGAGCCACCUGGGAAGUACGGCCGCAAGGCUAGAAACUUAAAGGAAUUGGGCGGGGAGCACAACAACGGGUGGAGCUUGCGGUUUAAUUGGAUUCAACGCCGGAAAUCUUACCGGGACCGACAGCAACAUGAAGGCCAAGCUGAAGACUUUGCCGGAUUAGCUG